rnacentral:rRNA from 1 species
UACGUAGGGGGCUAGCGUUGUCCGGAAUCAUUGGGCGUAAAGCGCGUGUAGGCGGUCCGGUAAGUCCGCUGUGAAAGUCGGGGGCUCAACCCUCGAAUGCCGGUGGAUACUGUCGGGCUAGAGUGCGGAAGAGGCGAGUGGAAUUCCUGGUGUAGCGGUGAAAUGCGCAGAUACCAGGAGGAACACCUAUUGCGAAGGCAGCUCGCUGGGACGUAACUGACGCUGAGACGCGAAAGCGUGGGGAGCAAACAGG